CGCCUAUGAAGAGUGCGCGAGGGACAAGCCCUGUGACCGCACGACAACCUGCCGGAAACGGUAAGGUGCCAAAGCUUGACCGAUAGGAU
rnacentral:ncRNA from 1 species